ACUCUCAUCCAUGUACUUACGUUUUCACAGCUAUUUUCAGAAAUGUCCAUUAACUUUUUGUAGCAGGAGAAACCUAGGCCUCAUUUAUAAAAAGAAUGAAGAACUUUCUACUGUGCCAUGUUGAAGCUGCUAAACAGGGAGGAAGAAAGAAUCAAGUAAAAUAGUAGAUUUUUACCCGUUGUGCUAACCACUCAUACGUUUUUAAAAAAAUGCUGGUAAUUAUAUCAUUUAUAGCUUCUACCUACUUGAUCUCUGAGUGGCUCACAUCUCAAACUGAAUGUUAAUUACACUAGAUCCAUAAUGGAAAGGAAAAUGACCACCACCUCAGCAUAAAUCAUAAGCAAAAUUCUCAGAUGGGAAAUGUAUUACUGUCUUGCAUAUCAAAAUGUACAUAAAUAAAACUUGGAAAAACUCA